rnacentral:piRNA from 1 species
UAUUGGGCAUAAAUCUAUAGAAUGAGAAAAU